rnacentral:rRNA from 1 species
AUUGAACGCUGGCGGCAUGCCUUACACAUGCAAGUCGAACGGCAGCAUGAUCUAGCUUGCUAGAUUGAUGGCGAGUGGCGAACGGGUGAGUAAUACAUCGGAACGUUCCCUGUCGUGGGGGAUAACUAGUCGAAAGAUUAGCUAAUACCGCAUACGACCUGAGGGUGAAAGUGGGGGACCGCAAGGCCUCAUGCUAUAGGAGCGGCCGAUGUCUGAUUAGCUAGUUGGUGAGGUAAAGGCUCACCAAGGCGACGAUCAGUAGCUGGUCUGAGAGGACGAUCAGCCACACUGGGACUGAGACACGGCCCAGACUCCUACGGGAGGCAGCAGUGGGGAAUUUUGGACAAUGGGCGAAAGCCUGAUCCAGCAAUGCCGCGUGUGUGAAGAAGGCCUUCGGGUUGUAAAGCACUUUUGUCCGGAAAGAAAUGGCUCUGGUUAAUACCUGGGGUCGAUGACGGUACCGGAAGAAUAAGGACCGGCUAACUACGUG